AAGUCGUAACAAGGUUUCCGUAGGUGAACCUGCGGAAGGAUCAUUACAAAUCUCUGUAUUGUGCCACCUGUAAAAGGGUGCGCAUAUACAUAAGGUCUUUGUUGGCGCAAGCCGACUAUUGACAUUUACGCUUGUUUUGUUUGACAGUUUUACAGUGAAUCAUAAACUUAUACAACUUUUAACAAUGGAUCUCUUGGCUCUU
rnacentral:misc_RNA from 1 species